rnacentral:sRNA from 1 species
AGGGAGCCCGCCGCUGUCCCCCCGCGGUCAUUGCCCCCCUGCCCCAGCCAAGCCAAUGCACCCAGAAAAUAAAUUGACCAAUCAUGGCAAGACAGGGAAUGGCGGGGCCCAAUCUCAGCACCAGAAUGUGAACCAAGGACCCACCUGCAACCUGGGCUCGAAGGGCGUGGGGGCGGGGAACCAUGGGGCCAAGGCCAACCAGAUCUCGCCUAGCAACUCAAGUCUGAAGAACCCCCAGGCAGGGGUGCCCCCUUUCAGCUCGCUCAAGGGCAAGGUGAAGAGGGAACGGAGUGUGUCUGUGGACUCUGGAGAGCAGCGAGAGGCUGGGACCCCAUCCCUGGAUUCAGAGGCCAAAGAGGUGGCGCCGCGGAGUAAGCGGCGCUGUGUGCUGGAGCGGAAGCAGCCGUACAGUGGGGACGAAUGGUGCUCUGGACCGGACAGUGAGGAGGACGACAAGCCCAUUGGGGCCACCCACAGGCUGCAGAGGCAGUGCUGCAGGGCCGGGCCGACUCCAUCCUCGCCUACCACCAGCAGAACGUGCCCCGGGCCAAGCUUGACCAGGCCCCUAAAGUGCCCCCCACCCCAGAACCGCUACCCCUGAGCACGCCGUCAGCAGGCACCCCGCAGUCCCAGCCACCUCCACUGCCGCCGCCGCCACCCCCGGCCCCUGGCAGUGCCCCGCCUGCUCUGCCCCCA